rnacentral:misc_RNA from 1 species
AAAUUUUUUGCUGAAUGAUUCAUUUUUAUGCCGUUAGAAGCAAAUGCAACUUGAAAUGAAGCUCAUUUAAACGAGGACAGGAAAGGGAAAAGAAGCCUCAAAUAUCAAUUUAAAUGAGGAUUCCCGGACUUUUUACAAGCCUAUUAGGGCUAGGGCGCAUUUGGCUUUUGCCCAAAUGAUACCCGAGAUAGAAUUUACUUUCAUAUCUUUCAUACACAAAACUACUAUCACAAGACAAACUUUAUCCUCCCAACAGUACUAGUAAAACAGGGCAUAUUCAGCCCAAACACACCAGAACAAGCAUACAAUAUCACACACCAACUUAUGCUGCCAAAACUGGAACCCUCUUGUGCCCAACAAAAGCCUGCCUAAGCCUAUGAUACCCAUUUCUGUAGUGUUCAAGUGAGAAACACAAUUGCCUGAUAGCUUCCCUUUUCUCUUCUGCUCCUUCUACGAUCACAACUCUUUGCCUUUCAACUUCUUCUUCCAGAUCCUUAACUUUUGAUCUCAAUUCAACUGCCAAUUUACGUGCCCCUUCAGCACUGGUAAUCAGCUUCACAUGCUCCAUAUGUAAUUGCUGUAAAUGCUUAUCCAUUUGGUCAAUCCGAUCUUCUCUAGAGAUUACAUCUGCUUUGAGUGUAGUAACUUGCACAAUAAGGUUAUCUCUCUCUAACUUCAAAGAAUCAAGGGUUUUAUUCAAAUUUUCUAUGUGACCAUCUCGUUCAUGAAUUUCUUCCUUUAACUGAUUGAUUUCAGAGUUGAGUCUUUCCUCUGUUUCUAACUUUUCUGUCUCUAACCUUCUAAUUUCAUCCUCAAGGGAACGGCUACGUGACUCCCAUUCUCUUAGCUUCUCCUCCAAGCAUUUUCGUUCCUCCAACAAUCUAGAUAUUUCAGCCUUUAUCUGUACUUUUUCCGGAAAGAUAUUCUGCUCAGCAUCAGAUACUGCUAUUUUUAAGUCUCUGAUCUCAUGAUCCCUGUCUGAUAAACUACUUUUCAACCAUGAAAUUCUUUGCUGCAGUUUGGUGACCUCGUUUCUUUCUGCAUUAAACUGGGCUUUCCAUGCAUUGAUGUCUUUAUGAGCAGAUGUAAGCUGACCCUGCAAAUUGAUGACAUUUUCAGAGGGUCUAUCACUCUCAAGCUGAUGUUUCAAACUAACAAUUUCAUUCUCUGCAUAUUGCAUCUUCUGUUUUGUGAUUUUGAGUUCAUCUGCUAGUGCCUUAAUCGUGCUAUCAGAUUCCUCAGUUUUAGCUUCAAGUCUGUCAAUAUUUUUUUCAGCUUCAAGUCUGUCAAUAUUUUCUUGAAGCUGUGAUUCCUCAGUCAUCUCAGGUACCAGCUCAGCCUCUCUAGUAUUAACAUUUUCUUCUGUUGAUAAUGCGAACUCAGGCUGUAAACAAUUGGUUGACUCCAGUGAUUUGUACUUCUGGAGGUCAGUUUUUAAUCUGGCCACCUCUUCUUCAGAAAGCAGUAUUCUCUGAUUAGCAAUCUUCAGCUGUUGCUCGUAUCCUGCAAUCCUAGCAAGCAGACCCUCAGAAUUCUCAUUCCUCACCUCGCUAAAUGAGCCAUCUCCAUUCUCCUCCUGCUGCAUCAAGAGUUUCUCUUUCAUUUCCCGUAGCUUAAUCUCUAAUUCAAUUAUCUUCUUGUUCUGUGCAUGAUCCCCACCAUUCCCUAAUAGACCUGAGUAAUUGUUUACAGAGGAGUCAUCAGAUUCUGACUCAGAAUCCGUUAGUGUAGAUGAUUCAUCUCCUUCUUUCUGAAGAUCAGAGCUACUUCCACCAGAACCAAGAAAGAAUUCAAAACCGGCAGCUCGAGGCCCAGAUUUACGAUUUGGCAGUCUCUGUUCAAGUACAGGAGACGGCCAAAUUGAGGAUGGUUCAGAAACAACCUCAGAAAUGUUUGAGCUCUGGGAUUGCAGAUCUGAUGGAAUGUUCUUCCUCAAUUCCCCUGUCACAUGAUCAUAACGUUCAGCUAGAGACCGGUACAUGCGGUAGAACUCUUCAACAAGAGAAAUCAAUUCUGGCCUCUUUUGAUAAUACAUUUCAGCCUUUUUUGCAAAUGAAUCUCCAUCCUCUUCAAUUAGCUUUAACAUCCGCCUGACGUUCUUGUCCAUUUCUGUUGUCAAGGAACGUUUCAUAAUUUUCUUGUUUAUCAUUUUUGAAAUCAAAAUUAUCACAGCAUCAAAGUUUUUUGUAAUGUAAAAAAGAAAACUUAAGAACAGUUGCUCCUCUCCCAGCAGAAUGGCUGUUGGGAUUGAGUAAUAGCAAUCACUCAAAGCCCUGCCCAAUUUAGAAUUAAUAAAGGUUAGUUGCAGAGGAAAUGGCUAAAAUUAUCAAACCGUUGCCUACCUUACUAGUUUUAACCAUGACUCUUUUAGGACUUUCAUUUGGGGACGGACUCUUUUUGGACAUGAAACAAAAUACGAGGCAGAUCCCAAGAUAUUGGCAGAAUACAUUUUGUUUGAGACGCAGCAAUAGGCAUAUAUUGUACAGAAAGAUAGGCAACAGAAUUUUUGCAUCUAAAAUAUAGGCAAGAGACAUUUUUAUUAAGACACAGCAUUAGGCUUAUAUUGUGAAGAAGUAUAACUUCUAAACUAGAGCUUCUCAUCGGUAUAUGAAUCCAUGAAAAGUGUAUUCCACAUAGAAAUAUGGACCUAUUAAUUCAUAAUGUGUAAAAUGUCCUUUUAACUAUGAGAGUGAGAGAGCGCAUGGAAGGAAAAGAGGGGAGAUUCUAUGAUCGAUACACUCUCAACUUCCAAGGAGCUGCCUCGAAUUUAUUUGAAAAAUUUAUUACAAGAUGGUUCAAUCACCAACUAUUUUAUUUGCUCUCCCUUCUACUUUUUGGGAGAUAAAAAUGCUUAAACAACAUCAAAUCAGGCUUCAGAAAUUUUACUCAUAGCAUAAUACACCAUAUCAUUAUUUAGACAAAACAUUUUUAACAAGAAUUUUCAAGUAAGCUGACCUGGAAAAAUGGGCUGUAAUAUGACUCACAAUGUCAUAAGACACCAUUUACUGAUCUUUAUGCUUUAUCUUAACAAAUUUGGGGGAAAAACUAGGGAGGGGGUAAAGCGCAGCCUAGUUGCUUACCCUCGAGAUUCUCCGCAAGCCACUUAGAAUUUUUCGGACUGAUGUGACUUACCCACCACCAUGAAUGUGAUUUCCUUGUUUGCGUCCUCUUAAAUUUCUUAUUUGAUGGAACCUGAAGGAAACCACUCAAAAUAAAAAAAUUGUUAUGUUCAACAAGAAAAUUCAACACUGCUAUGACACCUCAUAUAAAAUGCUAGAGUUCUAUCUAUCACCAAUGGGAGAGAUCUAGUUUUUGCUAGCACAAAACAUUAUCAAAAUGACAUACAAAUACUUCUCUCGGCUCUAAGUUGUUGGUAAUGCAUUGAAACUACUAUUCCACACAUUCGCUUCUCCAAGUACAGUUAUUCUAUAGGACACAGUCUCCAAAAUAAUUUUAACAUACAGAAAACAGUAAUGCUGAUGAAUGUUUACACAUGAUAAUAACAUUAGAGAGGUUAUAAAGUUGAUAGGAAAGAGAAUAAACAGAAGUUAGCAAAGUUGUGAUUGUGUGUGCAGGUGUGUAUGUGUGCGCGUGUGUACUUUACGCAUGUGUGCGUGUGUGUGUGUGUAUAUGUAAGCAAGCCAAGCUCUUCUAAGAGCUUGCCAUGUGGCUUUCUAAGAAGGUGUCACAUGUUAUAUGUUAUAACAAGCACGCAAAUCUA